AACGUAAGCGGAUUGUGUAGCCUUUAUAUAUAUAUAUGGCUUCGCGUGGCAUUAUAUUGGUGUUACGUACGUAGUAUACCAGGACAAGUAAAGCUGCAAGAUUUUGUCGGCCAGUCAAAAGUGGACGCUGCAAUCCAAGGUGAAACUUUCUUUCUCAUGGUGGGGCACACACAUGAAGAUGUGGAUCAACUGUUUAGUGUAUUUGCAAGGGAACUUAGACAGAUGCCUGCAACAACCCGCGAUGCCCUCCUUCAAGAUUGGGGACAUCCGGACACCCACCACCAAGCUAUCAGACUUCAAGCCCUUCAUGCCUGCCCCAAGGCAGGCGACAACCCUCCCAACUAAAGUUCAAGAGGCAAUAGAGAAGAACAAUGAAAAACUGCAAAAACAAUCAAAGAUCACUCUGACAAAGCACCGAAGACAAGCGUCAGUAUCAGAACAAUAAAGAAGGACCAGCAAGUUUUGCUGAAAUGAACAUAUUUUUUGUCUAAGCUAUGUGGCUGAGAUAUUGCCGAGGAUUGCAUUGCAGGAGUUUUGUACUUUGUAUGUUUUUGUUUCUUAGUAAAGCUGUGUAUUUAGAAUUGUAUA
rnacentral:lncRNA from 1 species